rnacentral:rRNA from 1 species
GAUGAACGCUAGCGGCAGGCUUAAUACAUGCAAGUCGAGGGACAGCACAGGUAGCAAUACUGGGUGGUAAUCGGCAAACGGGUGCGGAACACGUACACAACCUUCCUUUAAGUGGGGGAUAGCCCAGAGAAAUUUGGAUUAAUACCCCGUAAUAUAGUUGAAUGGCAUCAUUUGAUUAUUAUAGCUACGGCGCUUAAUGAUGGGUGUGCGGCUGAUUAGAUAGUUGGCGGGGUAACGGCCCACCAAGUCUACGAUCAGUAGCUGAUGUGAGAGCAUGAUCAGCCACGCGGGCACUGAGACACGGGCCCGACUCCUACGGGAGGCAGCAGUAAGGAAUAUUGGUCAAUGGACGCGAGUCUGAACCAGCCAUGCCGCGUGAAGGAUUAAGGUCCUCUGGAUUGUAACCUUCUUUUAUUUGGGACGAAAAAGGGCCUUUCUAGGUCAACUGACGGUACCAGAUGAAUAAGCACCGGCUAACUCCGUGCCAGCCGCCGCGGUAACAC